UACGAGGGGGGCAAGCGUUGUUCGGAAUUAUUGGGCGUAAAGGGCGCGUAGGCUGCGGGGCAAGUCGGGUGUGAAAUCUCAGGGCUCAACCCUGAAACUGCACUCGAUACUGCUCUGCUUGAGGACUGGAGAGGAGACUGGAAUUCACGGUGUAGCAGUGAAAUGCGUAGAUAUCGUGAGGAAGACCAGUGGCGAAGGCGGGUCUCUGGACAGUUCCUGACGCUGAGGCGCGAAGGCCAGGGGAGCAAACGGG
rnacentral:rRNA from 1 species